rnacentral:rRNA from 1 species
UACGGGGGGGGCAAGCGUUGUUCGGAAUUACUGGGCGUAAAGGGCUCGUAGGCGGCCAACUAAGUCAGACGUGAAAUCCCCAGGCUCAACCUGGGAACUGCGUCUGAUACUGGAUGGCUUGAAUCCGGGAGAGGGAUGCAGAAUUCCAGGUGUAGCGGUGAAAUGCGCAGAUAUCAGGAGGAACACCGAUGGCGAAGGCAGGUCUCUGGGCCAUUACUGACACUGAGAAGCGAAAGCAUGGGGAGCGAACAGG